rnacentral:sRNA from 1 species
UCCAUUUGUCUGUGUUUCAACGUGGUUGAGUGGUCGACCUUUGCCCAUCUCCAGUGGUCUACCGCUCCCUUCCCUCCACCUGACCCCACUCACAUAGUCUUGCUAUUUCUUGUUUUCAUCUAUGUCUGGUAUGGAACAGUUCCUACUCUGCUUUUUUCUUUUCUAGAUUCAUAAUGGUUCCUAUGAGACAAAAGCUGAGCUCAUCAUCUUCCUACAAUAUCACCUCUCAACUGAGCAUACUUCCUGUCUCUGGUUCUGGGCAAUUUCCAAUAUUUUUAGAUAUCUAUUCAUAAUUGAAUCCCUCCCCUCAUAUUUAGCAUAUGCUGGAUAAGGAAGAAAUAUCUAAUGGUUUCUGGAUCUUAAAUGCCCUACCAAAGUACACGUAUCGAAGGCUUGGUUCUUCCAGGUCCCAGAACUGAUGGGCAUUCCAGGCUAUGCUGGCUCUGACCUCUAUGAUUGACCACAUGUUCAAAGACUCCUACUUGGCGUCGCCAUAUUCUCUGAUGGAACAAAUCCAAGCUAUUGACCAAGAGGAGGACCAUGGUACCAAAGAGAGUUGGAGUGAUGUCAUACAAGACCUGCUGACGGCUGCAGAACUGAGAUGGAUGGCUGAUGAUCAUAAAGGCAGAAAUUGUAGUCUAAUUUGUAAUGAUCAAAGCAGUCUAAGAAAGGAUUGGGCUAACUCGGGAUGUGAUAAGCUCCCUAUUGCUGAAGCCUUCACCACAGUGCUCACAGCACUCAGCACGCUCUUCAACUUGGACAAGAAGACUUACAAGAAAUUGCUCGACUAAAAUGUGUUCAUUAGCUUGAAGCCCCAUCUGAGUAGACUAGAUUCUCUAUGAAAAGGGAAAUCAGGGUACAUAGACACAAGAGAUGCCCACAAGGAAGAAAGGCCACAUAAGAAUUUGGGGGUAGAUGGCCAGCUAGAGCCUCAUGAGAAACUAAGCCUGCCUGACAGAUUGGACUUGCAAUUCCAGAAUACAGAAC